rnacentral:lncRNA from 1 species
UCCAAUAUAAGCUGUUAAAUUCCAACGCGGCAUUACAUUUGAGUGAAACAAAAAUAAUCCUUUUUUUUUUUAACAAUUGUUCAACAUGAUCUGUUAAAUUUCAACGUGGCAUUACAUUUGGGGUGGGGUGGAUACUACGUGAUGCCACCUCAGCACCAAAUUCUUUUUCUUUUUCAUUUUAAAUUUUUCUUCUUUUUUCUUUUCCCUUCUUCCAUCAAGACCCGGAUUUGACAAUCUCUUUAUCGUCUUCAAUGGCAGAAAAAGUUUCAAAAUAGCAAACUGAAAAGAAUUAACACUGAAACCCCCUCCCAAAGUCACACCUUUUCACCAUUAACCCUCUUAAUUUUCAAGAAAAUACCGCUUCCCAAAUACUGCAAGACAACCCAUUAUCAAAAUAAAAGAACUCCUCCAAAAAUCCUCACCUACACCCACAUACCAAAAUCCAAGCAACCAACUUUAACAAGAACAUACAACUUUAGAACACCAAGAAACAGUUCAUUAGAAUAAAAUGUACAGCCACUAAAAUCAGCAAAAUUGUGCAAAUGGAUCCAAAACAGUUGAACAGUAAUAAAUAUUAACGUGUAGUACAGAAAGUGGGGCAAGAGAAGUUGGGUAUAUGAGAAGUUACGGUGCUCAAUCGGUUCAUCACAGCUGGCGGAGGUGGUGGUGAUGGUAGAGGAGGUGAGAAUGAUGGAUCUGCUGGGUUUCAAAUCUGGCAACGGUGAUGGCAGCGAUGGUUGUAGCAGAGACGGAGAAGGCGACUAUAGUGGAUUUGGUCGGAAGUUUGGAUUUAUUUAAUUAGAUAAAAGAAAAAAUGAAAGAAAAAGGAAAAAAAAUACUACGAAUCAAAAUUUUGGUGGAGGCGGCAUGCCACAAAACACUUAUCUCACUCAAAUAUAAUGUCACGUUGAAAUUUAAUUGGCCAUGUUUGACAAUAGUUAAAAAGAGAAAUAAUUAUUUUAAGUUUCUUAACGAAAAAAAUACACUUGAUACAAUAGUACGACUAGAGGUAAAUUUAAUCACUAAAUUAAGGUAGAGG